rnacentral:rRNA from 1 species
AUUGAACGCUGGCGGCAUGCUUUACACAUGCAAGUCGAACGGUAACAGGCCGCAAGGUGCUGACGAGUGGCGAACGGGUGAGUAAUGCAUCGGAACGUGCCCAGUCGUGGGGGAUAACUACUCGAAAGAGUAGCUAAUACCUCAUACGAUCUAUGGAUGAAAGCGGGGGACCGUAAGGCCUCGCGCGAUUGGAGCGGCCGAUGUCAGAUUAGGUAGUUGGUGGGGUAAAGGCUCACCAAGCCAACGAUCUGUAGCUGGUCUGAGAGGACGACCAGCCACACUGGAACUGAGACACGGCCCAGACUCCUACGGGAGGCAGCAGUGGGGAAUUUUGGACAAUGGGCGCAAGCCUGAUCCAGCAAUGCCGCGUGCAGGAAGAAGGCCUUCGGGUUGUAAACUGCUUUUGUACGGAACGAAACGGCUCUGGUUAAUACCCGGGGCUAAUGACGGUACCGUAAGAAUAAGCACCGGCUAACUACGUG